UGCUGAGCCACCUUUGCAGAUCUAUUGAGGGUUCGCCUACUAAGUGAUUUUUCUCUGAACCUGAGCAUCUAAUUUUCCAUGUGCAAAUUGUCUCACUAUAAGAUCCACCCCUGAUGAAGUCUUGGAGAAAAGACGAAACGCGUCGGGUUGUCUUCUUAUGAAGCUCAUAUUAAAGAAAAAGUGGAUAUUACAGAAUAUCACCUGUAAAUUGCUACUGUGGUCAUUGAUCUGUAAAAAGGGUGAAGCGAGUUACCACUUUUUCUAUGUACAAAUAUUGAUUGUAUGUUUUUACAAUAAUAAAAGUUUUUAGAUGGAACAUGUCA